UACGGAGGAUGCAAGCGUUAUCCGGAAUCAUUGAGAGUAAAGGGUCCUUAGGUGGUUUGCUAAGUCUACUGUGAAAGAUCAGGGCUCAACCCUGAAGAUGCGGUGGAAACUGGCAGGCUAGAAUACGGUAGGGGCAGGGGGAAUUCCCGGUGUAGCGGUGAAAUGCAUAGAUAUCGGGAAGAACACCAAAGGCGAAGGCACCCUGCUGGGCCGAUAUUGACACUGACAGACGAAAGCUAGGGGAGCAAAUGGG
rnacentral:rRNA from 1 species